UACGUAGGGGGCAAGCGUUUGUCCGGAUUCAUUGGGCGUAAAGAGCGUGUAGGCGGCCUGGAAGGUCAGCUGUGAAAACUCGAGGCUCAACCUCGAGACGUCGGUUGAAACCACCUGGCUAGAGUCCGGAAGAGGAGUGUGGAAUUCCCGGUGUAGCGGUGGAAUGACGCAGAUAUCGGGAGGAACACCCGUGGCGAAGGCGG
rnacentral:rRNA from 1 species